rnacentral:rRNA from 1 species
UACGUAGGGUCCGAGCGUUGUCCGGAGUUACUGGGCGUAAAGGGCGCGCAGGUGGCGGUGUUGGCCCGGCGUGAAAGCCCCCGGCUCAACCGGGGAGGGUCGUCGGGGACCGCACCGCUUGAGGGCGGUAGGGGCUGGUGGAAUGCCUGGUGUAGUGGUGAAAUGCGUAGAGAUCAGGCGGAACACCUGUAGCGAAGGCGGCCAGCUGGGCCGUCCCUGACACUGAGGCGCGAAGGCGUGGGGAGCGAACGGG